rnacentral:ncRNA from 1 species
AUAAUAGGCAAACCUAAAGAAAUUUAGGGACGCAAAGCUAUAGGGGCUAAGGUGUAUACAAGUACACUAUGUCAGCCAGUUGCCAA